rnacentral:rRNA from 1 species
GAACGCUGGCGGCGUGCUUAACACAUGCAAGUCGAGCGAUGAAGUUCCUUCGGGGGCGGAUUAGCGGCGAACGGGUGAGGAACACGUGAGGAAUCUGCCUUCUACACUGGGAUAACUCCGGGAAACCGGGGCUAAUACCAGAUAUGAAACUCGGUGGCAUCACUGAGUUUGGAAAGUUUUUCGGUAGAAGAUGACCUCGCGGCCUAUCAGCUUGUUGGUGAGGUAAUGGCUCACCAAGGCGACGACGGGUAGCCGGCCUGAGAGGGCGACCGGCCACACUGGGACUGAGACACGGCCCAGACUCCUACGGGAGGCAGCAGUGGGGAAUAUUGGGCAAUGGAGGAAACUCUGACCCAGCGACGCCGCGUGCGGGAUGAAGGCCUUCGGGUUGUAAACCGCUUUCAGCAGGGAAGAAGCGAAAGUGACGGUACCUGCAGAAGAAGCACCGGCUAACUAUGUGCCAGCAGCCGCGGUAAUACAUAGGGUGCAAGCGUUGUCCGGAAUUAUUGGGCGUAAAGAGCUCGUAGGUGGUUCGUAACGUCGGGUGUGAAAAUCUGGGGCUCAACCCCAGACCUGCAUUUGAUACGGGCGAACUAGAGUGUGGUAGGGGAGACUGGAAUUCCUGGUGUAGCGGUGGAAUGCGCAGAUAUCAGGAGGAACACCAAUGGCGAAGGCAGGUCUCUGGGCCAUUACUGACACUGAGGAGCGAAAGCGUGGGGAGCGAACAGGAUUAGAUACCCUGGUAGUCCACGCCGUAAACGGUGGGCACUAGUUGUGGGAACCUUCCACGGUUUCUGCGACGCAGCUAACGCAUAA